rnacentral:lncRNA from 1 species
AUCAUGAUACAUCUUGUCAUAUCAUGCAUCAUACAUCAUACAUCAUACAUAGUAUUAUAGUUCAAAACCAUAGUUUGGAUGAUCGGACUUUCAGAAAGUGAUGUCACCCAAAAUUUUUUUUUUCUUGACGUCAUCGAUCUACAGUAAUCAGCUAGUCGAAUUCCUCAGUCUGGAAACAACCGCGCAGUAGAGCGGACGUAUGAAAAUCGCGCUCGGCAGAUUUCGGGUACCGGGUUCUUUACCUUCUGGAUCCUGCGCUCCGAGUCCGCUUCCUGAUGCACCUCGAGUUCCAGGUCUAGCGCUCCGUAGUUUCUACGCUCCAGGUCCGCUAUCUGGUGAAACUCGACUUUAGGGACAAGUGCUCCGUAGUUUCGGCGCUCCAGGUCCACUACUUGGUGCAACUCGACUUCAGGGACAAGCGCUCGGUGGUUUCUGAGCUCCAGGUCCACUACCUCCAGGAACUCGACUUCCAGGACAAGCGCUCCGUAGUUUCUAAGCUCAAGGUCCACUACCUGGUGGAACUCAACUUCCAGGACAAACGCUCCUUAGUUUCUGCGCUCCAGGUCCGCUCCCUGGUGAAUCGCGACUGUCGGAGGACGAGGAAGACGAGGAGAACAAGGUGGACAAGGAUGACGAGGAUUUCUGCACGGUAUAACUCGAAGUGGUUAUCGAUGGUUGUUGGAGGCGGUUGGCGGUAGUUGGCGGUGGUCGAGGGUGGACGUUGAGGAGGACGAGGAAGACGAGGAUUUGUGCUCGGUAUAACCGGAGGUGGUUGCCGAUGGUUGUGGUGGUUGAAGGUGGACGAGGAGGAGUAC